rnacentral:rRNA from 1 species
UAGGGAAUCUUCCGCAAUGGACGCAAGUCUGACGGAGCAACGCCGCGUGAGUGAAGAAGGAUUUCGGUUCGUAAAACUCUGUUGUUAGAGAAGAACAGCGCAUAGAGUAACUGUUAUGCGUGUGACGGUAUCUAACCAGAAAGCCACGGCUAACUACGUGCCAGCAGCCGCGGUAAUACGUAGGUGGCAAGCGUUGUCCGGAUUUAUUGGGCGUAAAGCGAGCGCAGGCGGUCAAUUAAGUCUGAUGUGAAAGCCCCCGGCUCAACCGGGGGUGGUCCUUGGCAACUGGUUGACUUGAGUGCAGAAGCUGACAUUCGCAUUCCAUGUGUAGCCGUGACAUGCGUAGAUAUAUGGCGCACCUCCAGUGCCGCACGCGACUCUCUGGUCUGUAACUGACGCUGAGGUUCGAACGCGUGGGUAGCAAACAGG